rnacentral:rRNA from 1 species
AAUUGGUUAGGCGAAGAGGUCUGGAAAGGCCCGGCAUAGAAGGUAAAAGCCCUGUAGCCGAAAGUCAGUUCCCUCCGAGACGGAUCCCGAGUAGUGCGGGGCACGUGAAACCCCGUAUGAAUCUGCCAGGACCAUCUGGUAAGGCUAAAUACUCCCUAGCGACCGAUAGUGAAACAGUACCGUGAGGGAAAGGUGAAAAGCACCCCGGAAGGGGAGUGAAAUAGAACCUGAAACCGUGUGCUUACAAGAAGUCAGAGCCC